rnacentral:rRNA from 1 species
AGUGAACGCUGGCGGUAGGCCUAACACAUGCAAGUCGAACAGCAGCACAGUAAGAGCUUGCUCUUACGGGUGGCGAGUGGCGGACGGGUGAGGAAUACAUCGGAAUCUACUUUUUCGUGGGGGAUAACGUAGGGAAACUUACGCUAAUACCGCAUACGACCUACGGGUGAAAGCAGGGGAUCUUCGGACCUUGCGCGAUUGAAUGAGCCGAUGUCGGAUUAGCUAGUUGGCGGGGUAAAGGCCCACCAAGGCGACGAUCCGUAGCUGGUCUGAGAGGAUGAUCAGCCACACUGGAACUGAGACACGGUCCAGACUCCUACGGGAGGCAGCAGUGGGGAAUAUUGGACAAUGGGCGCAAGCCUGAUCCAGCCAUACCGCGUGGGUGAAGAAGGCCUUCGGGUUGUAAAGCCCUUUUGUUGGGAAAGAAAAGCAGCAGGUUAAUACCCCGCUGUUCCGACGGUACCCAAAGAAUAAGCACCGGCUAACCUCGU